rnacentral:rRNA from 1 species
UCCUACGGGUGGCUGCAGUGGGGAAUAUUGGACAAUGGGCGCAAGCCUGAUCCAGCCAUGCCGCGUGAGUGAUGAAGGCCUUAGGGUUGUAAAGCUCUUUUGUCCGGGACGAUAAUGACGGUACCGGAAGAAUAAGCCCCGGCUAACUUCGUGCCAGCAGCCGCGGUAAUACGAAGGGGGCUAGCGUUGCUCGGAAUCACUGGGCGUAAAGGGCGCGUAGGCGGCCGAUUAAGUCGGGGGUGAAAGCCUGUGGCUCAACCACAGAAUUGCCUUCGAUACUGGUUGGCUUGAGACCGGAAGAGGACAGCGGAACUGCGAGUGUAGAGGUGAAAUUCGUAGAUAUUCGCAAGAACACCAGUGGCGAAGGCGGCUGUCUGGUCCGGUUCUGACGCUGAGGCGCGAAAGCGUGGGGAGCAAACAGGAUUAGAUACCCGAGUAGUCGA